rnacentral:rRNA from 1 species
GUAUGGUCCGCCCGUCGGAUUCAGUCCGCCUGUGCGGCGUCGGCGUCGGUCGCGCAUCCCUCGUGGGAGCGCGUCGGCGUCCGUUCGUCGUGCGGCGGCCGUACUUUCGGCGGGCGGAGCGCCACGACCGGUUCGUCGGCGGCGAGAAACUCUCGGGCAAGGUGACCUUCGUCUCGGCGCAGGAGCAUACAGGCCCGGUGAGCGUCGGCCCGUCGGCGGACCGAGGAAGACCGUCGCGGAGCGGCGUCGACCGCGCGUCGUGUGGUUGCGUUCGACUCGGGGGGACUGGUUCCAGUGCCCUCGGACCGCGCGGCCGCARCGGCGGGACGGAACGGCGUCGCGCCUGGGGUCGGUGGCGAAACGGCCGGCAACCUGUCCGACCCGUCUUGAAACACGGACCAAGGAGUCUAACAUGUGCGCGAGUCGUUGGGCGUUACGAAACCCGAAGGCGCAAUGAAAGUGAAGGCCCGGUCUCCGACCGGCCUGGGUGGGAUCCGGGCGGCUUCGGCCGUCCGGCGCACCACCGGCCCGUCUCGUUCGCCUCGUCGAAGAGGCGGAGCAAGAGCGUACACGUUGGGACCCGAAAGAUGGUGAACUAUGCCCGAGUAGGACGAAGCCAGAGGAAACUCUGGUGGAGGUCCGCAGCGAUUCUGACGUGCAAAUCGAUCGUCAAACUUGGGUAUAGGGGCGAAAGACUAAUCGAACCAUCUAGUAGCUGGUUCCUGUCGAAGUUUCCCUCAGGAUAGCUGGCGCUCGUCAAGAGCAGUUUUAUCCGGUAAAGCGAAUGACUGGAGGCCUUGGGGACGAAACGUCCUCAACCUACUCUCAAACUUUAAAUGGGUAAGACGUCCGACUCGCUCGAUUGGAGCC